UACGAAGGGGGCUAGCGUUGCUCGGAAUCACUGGGCGUAAAGCGCACGUAGGCGGAUCCUUAAGUCAGGGGUGAAAUCCUGGAGCUCAACUCCAGAACUGCCUUUGAUACUGGGGAUCUCGAGUCCGGGAGAGGUGAGUGGAACUCCGAGUGUAGAGGUGAAAUUCGUAGAUAUUCGGAAGAACACCAGUGGCGAAGGCGGCUCACUGGCCCGGUACUGACGCUGAGGUGCGAAAGCGUGGGGAGCAAACAGG
rnacentral:rRNA from 1 species